AGUUACCAGAAAUCUUGUUCCGUAUGAAUCUUCCAGAAAUCAAAAGAAGGAUAAUUAUCAAACACCUAGAAUUGUUUUUAGAGUAUGUCACCAAUCAUAGUGAUGAACUUUUCAUGGAAUCCCAUUACAUUCCCAAUCCAGACGUGUAGCUGACUUCUAUUCGUGGAUAGAAUUCGUGGAUAGAUAUGAGUGUAACACCUUGUGUUCUUCAAAACAGCAAUAUGUUAAA